AAAUUGAAGAGUUUGAUCAUGGCUCAGAUUGAACGCUGGCGGCAGGCCUAACACAUGCAAGUCGAACGGUAGCACAGAGGAGCUUGCUCCUUGGGUGACGAGUGGCGGACGGGUGAGUAAUGUCUGGGAAACUGCCCGAUGGAGGGGGAUAACUACUGGAAACGGUAGCUAAUACCGCAUAACGUCGCAAGACCAAAGAGGGGGACCUUCGGGCCUCUUGCCAUCGGAUGUGCCCAGAUGGGAUUAGCUAGUAGGUGGGGUAACGGCUCACCUAGGCGACGAUCCCUAGCUGGUCUGAGAGGAUGACCAGCCACACUGGAACUGAGACACGGUCCAGACUCCUACGGGAGGCAGCAGUGGGGAAUAUUGCACAAUGGGCGCAAGCCUGAUGCAGCCAUGCCGCGUGUAUGAAGAAGGCCUUCGGGUUGUAAAGUACUUUCAGCGAGGAGGAAGGCGUUGUGGUUAAUAACCGCA
rnacentral:rRNA from 1 species